AUAAACAUAACAAGACGUGUCGAGACGUAUCGGCGUUUCGCGACCGAGUCUCUUAUUGGAACUCAAAAUUAAGAAAUAAUAAGACUUGGAACCUGCCAUGAUGUGUCAGCGUUUCGCGACCAACGAGGGAGAGUAGGCGAUGAGGUUAAAGAGAAAACUAGCCUUAGAAUGAAUACACGUUUUAUUGGUUAUAAAAGAGAAAAACAAAAAUGACUGUUUGCACAUGUCUCAUGCUCGACGAUCACUAACCAACCAAAAAAAAAUCAAGAUGGCCAGAACGCCAGUAGUGCGCUCUGGCG